rnacentral:rRNA from 1 species
CUUGUCCUACAUAAGAGGUCCAGCCUGCCCAGUGACAUUGUUCAACGGCCGCGGUAUCCUAACCGUGCGAAGGUAGCGUAAUCACUUGUUCUUUAAAUGAGGACUAGUAUGAAAGGCACCACGAGAGUCAUGCUGUCUCCUCUUUCUAAUCAGUAAAACUAAUCUCCCCGUGAAGAAGCGAGGAUAAAAAUAUAAGACGAGAAGACCCUAUGGAGCUUUAAACAAAUAACACUUGCCUAUUUCCAUUAAAUUUCAGAAAAACCAUUUACUCUGGCAUUAUAAUUAUAAGUUUUCGGUUGGGGUGACCACGGAGUAAAAAAUAACCUCCGCAAUGAAAUUACUCCAAAGUUAAGGACUACAAUCCUAUACAUCAACAAAUUGACAUCAAUUGACCCAACAUGUUGAUCAAUGAAC